CUCGGUCCUCGGUAGUGGCCGUCGGGACGCUCGCAGCACGUGGGCUCCCCGCAGGCCUCGAUCGAAGACCGGC
rfam:Aeromicrobium sp. Root472D3 contig_1, whole genome shotgun sequence.